rnacentral:tRNA from 1 species
GGAGGAGUGGCCGAGUGGUUGAAGGCGCCCCGCUCGAAACGGGGUAUCCCGAACAAAAUCGGGAUCGGGGGUUCGAAUCCUCUCUCCUCCG